rnacentral:lncRNA from 1 species
AAUUUCCCUACUUUUAAAGACUUCUUCAGACUCUUCAAUAAAACUCAUCUUUUAAUACUGUCCCUGAUGAUCUGUUUCACGAAUUUCCUAUGUGUGACUUAAUUUGGUAUUUGGUCUUUACUUUCCAGAUGGUCAGCUUCAGUCCGUGGAACCUUCCAAUACUACCAACAAUUCCUCACUUUCAGCACACAAGUGGUAUCUAUCUUUGUCCCAAUUGGCUUACUGUUAGUGUCAGUGCUUUCAUUUAUUACCAUUUCCCACUCAUCUUUAUAAAACACUGGGACAAAUUGCAAUAAAACAUUGCAAUAAUUACACAAACUUGACUGCAAAAUAUGGUGUUGAUGCAGUGUGUCCGAGCUCUGAUUGUGAAAUUGGUUUAAGGGUGUCAAUGUGAAAAGCAAUUGUGUGGAAAUCAAGGACUGCUUUAAUACAUUUAUUUCACAAACACAUUGUCUUAGAGUACCUUCCCAGAAGUAGAUUCCGACACAAGGAUUUGUGUGAAAGUGGUGUUUAUUAAGAAGCAUUCCUGGAAAAACCUCCAGAGAACUGGAGAAGUAGGACAGGGCAAGGAAGAAAGGCAAUCAAGGGUACAAUGCACUUAUUACAAACACCGUGAAGAAAACCAGCAAGGAAAGUCCUGCAGGCAAUCCAAGCUGGACUUCAGGA